AAUUAUUGCCGGAGUAUGAAGGGGCUGGUACUGCUCACUCUUUGCUGUAGAGCCUGUCCUGUGCCAACUGCGGUCCCCGGGACCAUCCCGGGCAGGGCCAGGUGCGUCCGAGCCACUCUGCCUCGAACAGGUGCGCCCGAGCCACUCUGCCCCAGCUCGGGCACAGGGCAGAGCCGCCGGGCUGUCGCGGGGCGUGGGUCCCUCCCAUCGGGCAGGUGCGGGUGGAGGAGGGAGGGAACGGGCCCGGCGCCCAGGUGGGGCCGGGCCGGGCCGGGGGCUCCGCCCGCCCCUCCCUCCGGCCCCGGCAGCGCCUCUGGGGCUCCGCGCAGCACCGGCCGCCCCCGCCGGUGGCCGCAGCCCUCCGGCAGGGCGGGCUCAGUCGCAGGGGGUUGCCUGUCCCGCCGUCGCCAGCCCGGCGGGGGGGCGCGGGGGGAGCGCGGUUGUCUCCAGGGCCGGUCCUCUGCCCUCUCCCUCCCUUCUCUCUGCCACCCUCCCUCCCGCCGCCGCGGCCGAGGGCUGCGCGGCCACCCGCGCCUCCCGCCGCAGGGGCCGCCCCGUAUGGUCCCCGCCGCUGCCAUGAGCCAGGCCCCGGCUCCCCGCGGCGCUGACCCGCCGGAGAGCGAUGCCCGCAGCGGGGCCCCCAGCCGAGGGAUGCCGCCGCCGCCGCCCAGCCUGCCCCAGCUCCUCCACAACGCUGCCAAGCUCCUGGAGAAGAGUCCAUUCUCUGUCGGCGCCCCGAGCCCCCUGCUCCCCUCGCCGGCGAGCCUGCAGCUGGCGCAGCUCCAGGCACAGCUCACGCUCCACAGGCUGAAGUUGGCUCAGACUGCUGUCACCAACAACCCGGCCGCUGCCACUGUCCUCAACCAGGUGCUCUCCAAAGUGGCCAUGUCGCAGCCCCUCUUCAACCAGCUGAGGCACCCCACGGUGAUGAGCGCCCCGCAAGGCCACUCUGCAGGCCCACCCCAGGGGCCCGGCAUCGCCGGCACGAGGUUCCCCUCUGGUGGCAUUGCCUUUCCUGCCCAGAGCCCGGCCUUAGCUGCCCCAGGGGGAGGUCUGGGAGCCGUCCAGGCCCAGACCAACGCAAUUGUCAUGAGUCCCUUUGGAAGUGUCAUGGCUCCGACCUCCGGCCAGCAACCCGUGGUAGUGGGUCUCAACAAGGCAGGUGCUUCCACAUCUACUGCUGCAGGAGGCUUUUAUGAGUACAACAAGCAGAACGCCAUCACUGGCGCCUCUCAGGCAUUCGCCUCGGAGGGGGAACAGUCCAGCCAGCACGGCUUCCUUGCUGGUGGCACCCACACUGCCAGCCCAGCAGCAGGGCCACGCUAUGAGAGUCACUUUGGGGCUCCCGGCCAGCUGCAGCACGAGGCAGCAGCAACAUUUCCCAAGGAGUCCUACGGGACAGCAGCACAGCAUGGUGCAGCACGGGCCUUCCCCGGCGAUCCACACACGGGCUCCCAUCCGAAAGGAGAUCCUGGCCCUGUCUUGCAUGGCAGCAGUACAAGCAACCAGUGGGAAAAUAUCCCUAAUUUCCCCAGCCAAAACAAGCCUGACCUCAUGCCCGGCGACAGCCUGUGGCCGUCAGCGAGUCAGCAGCAGUAUGAAAUAAGAAACGAGCUGUACAACCCCGAAGAGCCGACACCUGACACAAAGUUCAGCACGGCCGCCCCCCCCGCCUUCGGCCGCCUCAACCACAGCGCGCAGAGCUUCGGCAGCCCUCGCAUGAGGCAGAAGGAGGAGCGCAGUGGCGGCACGCCCGAACUGCCCACCCGCUCCCUGCCGCCGCACCAGCUUGGCGACCUGCGCGGCGUGGCCCCUCUCCACUUCCCCCACAUCUGCGCCCUGUGCGACAAGAAGAUCUUCGACCUGAAGGACUGGGAUCAGCACAUUAAAGGAAGUCUUCACAUUCAAAAAUGUAUGGCUUUUUCAGAUAACACUGGUAUCCGGUGUGUGUUAAGCUCAGCAGAUGGAACCUUGCAUUUAUCGCCAAAUAAUGCAGCAGUUUUCAGUCCAUCUGGUAUCGAAGAUUAUCCACCAAAUGUUGGCGCAUCUUUUAUUGCUACACCAGCAAGAUCCUUUGGCCAGCCAGGUCCUACAUUUUCUUCUCCUCCGUCAGGGGUAAGAUUUCCUCAGAGGAAAUCUACACUGGGUCGAGUUGUUCACAUUUGCAACCUCCCCGAGGGAAGCUGCACAGAGAAUGAUGUCAUUAACCUGGGCCUCCCAUUUGGAAAGGUCACCAACUAUAUCCUCAUGAAAUCUACUAAUCAGGCCUUUCUGGAAAUGGCUUACAGUGAAGCAGCUCAAGCCAUGGUACAGUACUACAAAGAAAAACCUGCUAUGAUAAAUGAUGACAAGUUACUUAUUAGGAUGUCUAAAAGAUACAAGGAAUUGCAGCUGAAGAAACCAGGUAAGAAUGUGGCUGCUAUAAUCCAGGACAUCCACUCACAGAGGGAGAGGGACCUGCUGCGUGAAGUGGACAGCAGGUAUGGCCCUGAGAGGCCCCGCUCCCGCAGCCCCAUAAGCCGCUCGCUGUCACCUCGGUCCCACACGCCCAGCUUCACUUCCUGCAGCUCACCACACAGCCCGCUGGGGACCAGCAGGACCGACUGGGGAAAUGGGAGAGAGGCAUGGGAUCAGUCCCCCUAUUCUCGACGGGAAGAGGAAAGAGAUAGCAGGGAAUGGCGAGAGAAUGGGGACGAGAAGAGGGACAGGACUGACACGUGGGUACACGAGAGGAAACAUUAUUCCCGACAACUGGACAAGUUUGAUUUGGAUGAACGGCUUGAAGGAGGCAGAGGACACCGAGAAAAAUACUUAAAGACUGGUUCCCCUGGAUCACUUCACCCUUCAUCUGGCUACAAGAACAGGGAAGAUGACUAUUACCGAAAAUCCUCUAAGUCAAAAUCUGACAAGUUUCAGAGGCAGCUGCAGGAUUUACCUGGGAGAUCUAAGAGAAAGGAAGAGGCAAAGUUAAGGGAACACAGGCAUUCUUACAACGAGGACACUGCCAGGGAGGAGGCAGCUGAACAGAAGCACAGCAAAGCAUCUGAGGGCUCCAGGCAAAAACAAAGUGAUAAGAAUAAAGUGAAGAAAACUGAAAAAGACCAAGAAGAUGCUACUGCUGAAGGCAGUGAUGUAAAGGAAACCAAACCUCCUGAGAAUGAGCUUGAAAAAGAGGAGCAAGUUCCAGUGAAGAGCUCACCUUCAGAUAAUAAACAAGGAAAAGAAUCUGGAGAUAUUCUGGAAAACACAAGGAAAGAAAAGGACCGAGACUGGGAGAGUGGAAGUGAAAUAGAAGGUGAGACCUGGUAUCCUGCUAACAUGGAGGAAUUAGUGACAGUGGAUGAAGUGGGAGAAGAUGAUUUAAUUAUGGAGCCUGAUAUAACUGAGCUUGAAGAAAUAGUCCCAGUUGAUCAAAAAAAUAAAGCUUCUUCAGAAAUAUGUCCCUGUGUGUCAACCAUGUUAGAACUGAAAAAUGAUCACAGCCACUUAACAAGAAGUGAAGACAAAUUUGCCCAUAAAGCUUUAGAAACAAACUUCAGAGCAGCAAAGGGCAGUGCAGCUUCUAGUGGCUGUCAGGAAGAUGAUGAGGAUGAUGAUAAUGAUGAUGCUGCAACUGAAGCAUCAAGCCUAAAUCUGGACCCUGAACAGAAGCCAGAGGAAUUGAAAGACCAAUCUGCUAAGGAGUCUGAUUGCCAGCAGAAGGAAGGAAAAAUUGAUAAGAGCUCUGACACUCAUUUGGAGCCUGAAGAUCACCAUAUACCUUCUGUUCAUCUGAAAGAAGAGACUCUCCAGCUCCCUGAUACGUUUAUAGAUGAUUACAAACAGAUGGGAUCACAAGGAGCUGAGAGCAGAGAAGUUACGGAAACGCUCAUUAAAAACGCUAGCGAAGAAACAAGACAUGGAAGCCAAGAGUGUCCAGAGGCCAAGGCAAAUUCUAGGUACUUGGAAAUGAGAUCUCUGGAAUACCCGGAGGUAGAGUCUAAACAAAGGCCCUCUGCAGCAGGCUGGGAACAAGAGGACGUCUUCACCGAGCUCAGCAUUCCCCUGGGUGUGGAAUUUGUGGUGCCUAGAACUGGGUUUUACUGCAAGCUCUGUGGACUCUUCUACACAAAUGAAGAGACAGCAAAGACAAGUCACUGCAGGAGUACUGUUCACUACAAAAAUCUCCAGAAGUAUCUAUCCCAGCUUGCAGAAGAGAGCCUGAAAAUGAAGGAAGAAGGCAGCCCUCUGCCUCAGGAUGACACUGGCAUCGUUCCUCACUUUGCAAAGAAAAAACUAUGAUGCAGAUGAACUGGAAGAGCUGUAAUGAGUGAAUGCUGAUACUUUAUUUUUUUUUAUUUUAAAUUUCUAUGAUAUAACUGUCAAUUUGCACUGUACAGAGGAGGGGAAAUAAAGAGCAUGUUCCAUGCAUCUAUGCCCAGAGUGCCAUUAAAAACCAAAAUGCCUGAAACUGUUUCCCACGGUGAAGCAAUGCUGGCAUAUCUGUUAGAAGUGGAGCAAUUCUUUCUCACACUCUGCGUGCUGGGAGUGGUUUCCUAGAUUAAAUCAGAAUUCUCAGGGAUUCUUAAAGUUUUAGUUCUGAUGUAACAUGUCAGGUCAGGUGGAGUACUUAGAAGCACUCAGCAUCCUCCAGUGGACGCUGGAAGGAAAGGAGAUGUGACUAUUUAUAGGCUUUAAUGUUGCUUAAAAUACCUUCAGCCAUUUCACUCAUUGCCCCAGUGAGAAGUAGGAUUUGCAUAGGAUAAAGAGAUAGGUAUAAAGCCAUUUUGCUAAAACUAGUGAGUAGAUGGCAUAAUGUAAACCCCAUCAGCACCCACCUCCAUGUCUUAGAGCUUGGUGAAAUGACAAAUGUUUGUGUUGUCAAGAACUGACUGUACACUGCCAGUGUUGUGUGAAUUCUGGGGGAGCCACAGUCUGUCCCAGGGACCUCAGAGCCUGAACCCAGCUCAGCAAGAGCAGUUCAAAUGCACGUGCUGACAGCCAGCCUGCUCUGGUUUCAGCAUUUUCCAUGGUGUGGUCAGGGUGUUCUCCAGGGACCGUUGUGUUUGAAACUCUUCUUUUUGAUAAUUCUAAAGGGUGCCAACUUUGAGUCUUACAGACUUGAAACUCUCAUGAGAGGCUUUUUAAAGUGCCACAUGUUUGGACCAUGUCUCUUUUAGACAUUUUAUUCAAGAUCCUUGCUUUUGGGGUCUUUUUGUUUUCUUUAAAGCUUGCUUUUCCUCAGCUUGGCAACGUUGAAUUUUCCUGGUUUUUAUGGAAAGACGCCAGAUUUCUAAUAUUGUUUUUGUAUUUUAUUUCCCUGAAUUUUUUAAGGUGAAUACAACAACUGAUGGCUCACGGAGCACUGCACUGAGAACACAGGAUGCACCAGCAGCUCUGGCAUUAUUAUGACCUAUUGUUUCUGCACAGUUGUUGCUUAGUAUUUUGCAAAGUCCCUUUGAAAUGCACUGUACAAGUUUCUGGUUCAUUUCAAUAGGGCUUUGUGUACUAAAGUGAAUACGCAUGCAAAGCAUUGCCAGGAUUGAUCCCAGAGUUUAUAAAAUGGCCUGUGCAGUCUGGGUAGAUGGGGAUUUGCAGGCAUUUCCAUUCUUUGCCUGACUCUAAUAUUCAUCACAGUAUGUUCUGUAAAAAUUGCUGGUACUGGAUGUCCUCUUUAGAUGUUGUGCAGAGGAAACAGUUUCCCAGAAGGUUCUAGCUUUCCCUAAGAAUGACGGGGAUGUUGCACAAUACUGCAAAGUGGCUAAAUUGCCAAAACUGCUUCCACCAAAGUAUUUGUUCCAUUAUGUCUUGUGCCAGCAGCUGUGCUCGUUCUCUGAAGUACCCUGUAGCCAGGCAGUGUCUCUCAGAGGUGCCUGGUGUUGUUGCCUGAAGCCCUGUUCCAUUCCAUGGCCUGUGCUUUCCAUUCAUUUUUACCAGAGAGUGCAGCUCUCUAGCUGGUCAUGUAUCAUCUGAAUAUGAAGUUCCCUUCAUGCCCUUCAGCACAAACUGAACACAAGGGAAGGAAAUCAAGCAUCAAAUCUUUGAAGCUAACCCUGCUAUCAAACUGGGGCUCUCACCAGCCUGAUGGGAGCUUGUUAGACCAUGUGGUUAAGCUUAAUUGGAUGUGAGACAUAGCUGACUGUAUAUCAAAGUCAUAUGCCUCCAGCAGCUUUAUCCCCAGGUAACCUCAAAUGAGAAAAGUAUCACUGUUAUUAUUCUUUAUUUGUAGUGCAGCAGAAGCUACAGGUCCACUGCCUUUAUUAUAGGCAAGGCACAAAUCCACAACAAAGACUUUCCCAGGCCAAAGAGCUUUAAAUCACACUUUCUGAAAACAGACAACAGGUGGAUACAGGCAGGCAGGGAAAGCAGCAGGUAACCAUGAGAUUUUGACUGGCAGCAGAAGAAUAAUUAAAAUGAGUAUUUACCCAGGGGCUUAUUUUUGGAUUUAUGGGAGAUGAUUCAAUCUACUUUCCCCCUCCUCUGCUUCUGAACCAAGUUCACUCCCUUUGUUCACUGCUUGUAUUUAACCUUUUUUCCCCUAGAUAGUUGCAUUAGGAAUACAAAAUCCCUUCUUGAUACAGUGGGUCUUGGUAUCCUUUGGUCCCCAGCCAUUUAAGUUUCAGUCUCCAGAGGUAGAGUCUUGACCAAGGCUCAGCAGGAAAUGUCCUGGCUCCAAGACACCUUGUUUGGGUCACAGCUACAGGCCCUUGCUUGCCACUGAGGAAGGAGGUGGCUCUAGAGGGCAUCUCUGCCCUGUGCAGUUUCCUCUUCUGGAGGGAGGUGACUCAGGUGAGCAAUGCAGGUGCAGAGCCCAGCCCCACAGACCUGAGCAGAGCCAGACAUUUGUAGAGGUGGUUUGGACACCCCGUCCCUUUGGGCUCUGUCUGACAAAACAGCAAUCUGCAAAAUCCUGAGAUUUUGUGCCAAAUGGGCACUUCUCCUUCUGAGAAGGUCCUUUCUCCCCAAAACCUCAACAUUUGAAAGCAAUCCCAAGUCUCAAUUAGCUCCUAAUGAUGCCCAUGAUCAGUUUUCAGCCCAAUGCACUUUGAGAACUCAGAGAUAAUCUCCUUCCCUCUCUAACAGGCCAUCGUGCAAUGCUGACAGGCACUCCUCAAAUUCUCUCUACUACCUAUUCUGCUGAGAAAGAAUUCUGCUGUAGGCAGCCCCUUACCUUCCUCAGCUGGUGUAAAAAUGUGUUGUUUCUUUUGGUUUAUUAUAUUGAACUCUUGACUUUUUUUAGUUGGCAUAAUUCAUCAUCACUAUAAUCCACACUCUUUAUUUAUAUAUACAUAUCUAUAUAUAUAAGCAGGGAAAAGACAAAGCAGGCUCAGGUGUAGCCAAACAAAUAUUGAUAUUUAAAAAGGAGCUUCCUUAAUAUAUCAAAACCAUUUCAAUACAUCUCAACCAAAGAUUGCACUUUUAUAAUAGGGACUAUGUUUUUAAUCUCUGUGAAAUCUGCAUUGAUCUCAAAUAGUCUUUAAUGUCAAUCUGCAACCUACUUCCUUUGAAGAAAAAAAUGAAAGAAUUAAACAUUUGCCCCAUUAGAUCAGACAAAGUUCCACAUUGGCUUUAACACUAAAUUAGUGUUAGGCUGGUUAUAUUCAGGGGUUUUUUUCUACUCUCUAAGGAUUAAGGCUGUGAUUUGUUGAAUUAUACUUGAACUGGACCAGAUGUACUAUUUAUUGAGCUUAUAUAAUCUUGUUAAUUUAAGUUUUGGUUUGUAAACAGUUGACAUUUGUUAGUACUUGUUUAAUUAUGUAGGAACUGUCACCAAUAUAACUGAUCUGUGUAACUGAUUGCAAAGUGUUUUAAUUUGUGUUUCUUAAGAAAGAUUUUAAUAAAGAGAAUUAUAAAGCAU